AUGGCUUGAUGUGGAAAUUACCUUUGAUAUUCCUUGAACCGAUCGCACGCCUCAAAGAACGACUCAUCUCGCUUUUGCUCAAACGAUUGGAUCUUAUGCCUAUACUC
rnacentral:snoRNA from 1 species